UAGGUCCUAGUUAUACUAUAGGUCCUAGUUAUAGUCACUACUAUAGGUCCUAGUUAUACUAUAGGUCCUAGUUAUAGUCACUACUAUAGGUCCUAGUUAUACUAUAGGUCCUAGUUAUAGUCACUACUAUAGGUCCUAGUUAUAGUCACUACUAUAGGUCCUAGUUAUAGUCACUACUAUAGGUCCUAGUUAUAGUCACUACUAUAGGUCCUAGUUAUAGUCACUACUAUAGGUCCUAGUUAUAGUCACUACCAUAGGUCCUAGUUAUAGUCACU